UUACUACUUGGAUAACCCGUGGUAAUUCUAGAGCUAAUACAUGCUGAAAACCCCAACUUCGGGAGGGGUGUAUUUAUUAGAUAAAAAACCAACGCCCUUUCGGGGCUUCUUGGUGAUUCAUGAUAACUUUACGGAUCGCAUGGCCUUGCGCCGGCGACGGUUCAUUCAAAUUUCUGCCCUAUCAACUUUCGAUGGUAAGGUAUUGGCUUACCAUGGUUUCAACGGGUAACGGGGAAUUAGGGUUCGAUUCCGGAGAGGGAGCCUGAGAAACGGCUACCACAUCCAAGGAAGGCAGCAGGCGCGCAAAUUACCCAAUCCCGACACGGGGAGGUAGUGACAAUAAAUACUGAUACAGGGCUCUUUUGGGUCUUGUAAUUGGAAUGAGUACAAUUUAAACCUCUUAACGAGGAACAAUUGGAGGGCAAGUCUGGUGCCAGCAGCCGCGGUAAUUCCAGCUCCAAUAGCGUAUAUUAAAGUUGUUGCAGUUAAAAAGCUCGUAGUUGAACCUUGGGUCUGGCUGGCAGGUCCGCCUCACCGCGUGUACUUGUCCGGCCGGGCCUUCCUUCUGGAGAACCUCAUGCCCUUCACUGGGCGUGUUGGGGACCAGGACUUUUACUUUGAAAAAAUUAGAGUGUUCAAAGCAGGCCUUUGCUCGAAUACGUUAGCAUGGAAUAAUAGAAUAGGACGUGCGGUCCUAUUUUGUUGGUUUCUAGGACCGCCGUAAUGAUUAAUAGGGACAGUCGGGGGCAUCAGUAUUCAAUUGUCAGAGGUGAAAUUCUUGGAUUUAUUGAAGACUAACUACUGCGAAAGCAUUUGCCAAGGAUGUUUUCAUUAAUCAGUGAACGAAAGUUAGGGGAUCGAAGACGAUCAGAUACCGUCGUAGUCUUAACCGUAAACUAUGCCGACUAGGGAUCGGGCGAUGUUCUUUUUCUGACUCGCUCGGCACCUUACGAGAAAUCAAAG
rnacentral:rRNA from 1 species